UGUCAUUGCUCCUUUCAGCACAUAUGUUACAUGGUCUUUGACAUCUUCAGUACGACCUAAAUGUGUUUCACAGCUGUGAUUGCCUCAGUGCAUAUAGAAGCAACGAAGUGAUCCCAAAUACUUUUGCAGAAUAACUGAAAUGUGGGCAAGUUCAUUCGGAUUCAUGAUUAUGGCAGAUUUGAACCCAACACUGUGUAACACUACUACACAGACUGGCGUUUCGGGUAGUCGAGACAAGAUUCCUAUUAAAACCUCGUUGAGAUUUGACAAACUGUUAGCUAGGUGGGAUAAAGUAAUUGUGAUUCAGAAUGGUAGCCUCAACAUUGAGCACAAGGCAAGAGGUGAGUUUUUUAUUGUGAUCAUUUUCUACAAGCAUGCACAUUAGCGUUACAGUAGUACGAGCAUCUUUGUAGCACAUCCUUCCCUGUAUAAAAAGGGUCAUGUUGUUUACUGCUUAGCUGGUGUUAUGCAUUGUCCACUUCUAUGGUGUUGAUGCCCAGGAUCUCUACAAAACGGAACCUCUUUGCUACAGUCGUGUGGCUGCUUGUGUUCUUCUCCCCUAGCCAGAGGCAUGAAGGGGGGUUCACGGUCACUGACCAAGUCUCAUGUAUAACCCGACGUUUCGGAACUACACACGGGUUCCUCGUUCACUGAGUUGGACAGGAAAUCAUCGUCACCUAUGUAGCCAGCAUGUGACGUAAUGAACAUGCGUAAAUGGCAGGCAUAGUCCCUGGUGUCUGGUUCAUCGUAGCUGACGUCAAUUGAACGAUUAGCGAUUCUAGCAGCCGCCGGGAUGACAUGUUCUUUUCUUUGGCAACAACAGUGGCAUUGUCCCAGUCAAUCUUGUGACUAUGUUCCUGCGCAAGCUCGGCAAAUAAUAGUCGUGUGACUAUUAUUUCUUAGAUCACGUUUUUUUUUUUCGUUUCCAUGCCUGACCAGCCGAACUUUCAUCGAAUCCUAGAUUAUGCAGCCAGAGGCAGUGGCACUCGUUGUGUCCUGUUAGAGAUGACUGGUCUUUUUGUCCGUGUCUAUCCACUAUCACCUGGGCUUAUCUCCUGGCUGCUGAAGUGUGCCUGCAUUUUCCAGGUCAACUACUCGGACAUUAAUGUCUGGAUACAAAUUGGGUAGAUCUUGUAUGCCAUGCCCAACAUCAGAGUAGCGGAUAAAGAAUGUGUGGCAACAUGAAAUGGCCGUUGACGACACAGGCGAGUAGUGGAUGCCACACUUCAGUUCUAAUUGAAGUUACAUCAGCACAGAGCAUGUAUGCUACGACCAAGUUGGGUCCAUACUUUGGAUUACCAUGUACAGUGUCACUCUCUUCUGCAUUCCAGAAGAUGGAAGCCAGUGUUUCUUUGCUGUUGCCAUUUCAAUUUAGUAUAUUUUCAUGUUUUCAUGCUCUGCAAAAUACAGCCAGAGGUUGCACAGUCUUGAAAUGAAGACUACUUUUUGUGUUUUCAAGAUAAAAUUUUAGCUAUAAUAAACGGAAUUUCCAAAAAACAAA